GAUGAACGCUGGCGGCGUGCCUAAUACAUGCAAGUCGAGCGAACGGACGAGAAGCUUGCUUCUCUGAUGUUAGCGGCGGACGGGUGAGUAACACGUGGAUAACCUACCUAUAAGACUGGGAUAACUUCGGGAAACCGGAGCUAAUACCGGAUGAUAUUUUGAACCGCAUGGUUCAAAAGUGAAAGACGGUCUUGCUGUCACUUAUAGAUGGAUCCGCGCUGCAUUAGCUAGUUGGUAAGGUAACGGCUUACCAAGGCAACGAUGCAUAGCCGUCCUGAGAGGGUGAUCGGCCACACUGGAACUGAGACACGGUCCAGACUCCUACGGGAGGCAGCAGUAGGGAAUCUUCCGCAAUGGGCGAAAGCCUGACGGAGCAACGCCGCGUGAGUGAUGAAGGUCUUCGGAUCGUAAAACUCUGUUAUUAGGGAAGAACAUAUGUGUAAGUAACUGUGCACAUCUUGACGGUACCUAAUCAGAAAGCCACGGCUAACUACGUG
rnacentral:rRNA from 1 species